AUACGGAGGGGACAAGCGUUAUUCGGAAUCACUGGGCGUAAAGGACGCGUAGGCGGGUUAUUAAGUCGGGUGUGAAAUCCAAUGGCUCAACCAUUGAACUGCAUUCGAAACUGAUAACCUAGAGUAUGGAAGGGGCAGGUGGAAUUAGUGGUGUAGGGGUAAAAUCCGUAGAUAUCACUAGGAAUACCGAAAGCGAAGGCGACCUGCUGGGACAUUACUGACGCUGAGGCGUGAAAGCGUGGGGAGCAAACAGGAUUAGAAACCCCUGUAGUCC
rnacentral:rRNA from 1 species